AUUGAACGCUGGCGGCGUGCCUAACACAUGCAAGUCGUACGAGAAAAUUGGCUUCGGCCGAUGAGUAAAGUGGCGCACGGGUGAGUAACGCGUGGAUAAUCUGCCCCUCAGUUGGGAAUAACUCAUCGAAAGGUGAGCUAAUACCGAAUAAUACUGUGAGACCUCGGUCGAUCAGUCAAAGAGAGCCUCUGCUUGCAUGCCCUUGCUGAAGGAUGAGUCCGCGUACCAUUAGCUAGUUGGUAGGGUAAUGGCCUACCAAGGCGACGAUGGUUAGCUGGUCUGAGAGGAUGAUCAGCCACACUGGAACUGAGACACGGUCCAGACUCCUACGGGAGCUG
rnacentral:rRNA from 1 species